AGGCCUGCGGGUUGUAAAGCACUUUCAGKAGAGAAGAAAAGCCUGGAGUUAAUACCUCCGGGUCUUGACGUAACCUACAGAAGAAGCACCGGCUAACUCCGUGCCAGCAGCCGCGGUAAUACGGAGGGUGCGAGCGUUAAUCGGAAUUACUGGGCGKAAAGCGCACGUARGCGGCUGGGWCAGUCRGAUGUGAAAGCCCCGGGCUUAACCUGGGAACUGCAUUCKAUACUGCCCAGCUAGAGWAUGGRAGAGGGAAGCGGAAUUUCCGGUGUARCGGUGAAAUGCKUAGAUAUCSGGAGGAACACCAGKGGMSAAKGCGGCUUCCUGGACCAAUACUGACACUGARGCGCGAAAGCGUGRGGAGCAAACAKGAUUAGAUACCCUGGUAGUCCACGCCCUAWACSAUGAGAACUASCCGUUGGGGGUAUUUAAACCUCUAGUGGCGCAGCUAACSCGAUAAGUUCUCCGCCUGGGGAGUACGGMCGCAAGGSUAAWACUCAAAGGAAUUGACRGGGGCCCRCACAAGCGGUGGAGCAUGUGGUUUAAUUCRAAGCAWCSCGCAGAACCUUACCCGGGCUAGAAAAACUGARAACUUUGAASAAACUCGAAGGUGCUCGCAAGAGAACUCAGGUCCAGGUGCUGCAUGGCUGUCGUCAGCUCGUGUCRUGAGAUGUUGGGUUAAGUCCCGCWACGAGCGCAACCCUUGUCGCCAGUUGCUAA
rnacentral:rRNA from 1 species